CUGAGACAGUCAAGGCGAAGGCUGAGGCCGGGAGGCUACAAGGAACCAAGGCCAGUCAAGGACCACUUGGUGGGCUUCAAAGAGGAUCUUUCAUCCAGCCAAUCCUUAAGAUGACUGUAGCCCAGGCUGACUCUAACCUCAUGAGAGACUCUGAACCUGAACCAGAACCACUGAGCUUAGCUAUUAUACUUCCAGAUUUCUGACUCACAAAAAACUAGACAGGGUCUUGCUAUGUUGCCCAGGCUG